GAAAAAUUAAAAAAAAAAAAAUCUUGUGACAAGUGAAAAUGGAAACACAACAUACCAAAUCUUAUGGGAUGCAGCACAAGCAUUUCUAAGAGUGAGUUUUA